rnacentral:rRNA from 1 species
ACUCCUACGGGAGGCAGCAGUAAGGAAUAUUGGACAAUGGACGCAAGUCUGAUCCAGCCAUGCCGCGUGAAGGAUUAAGGUCCUCUGGAUUGUAAACUUCUUUUAUAAGGGACGAAAAAAGGCUUUUCUAGGUCGUCUGACGGUACCUUAUGAAUAAGCACCGGCUAACUCCGUGCCAGCAGCCGCGGUAAUAC